rnacentral:rRNA from 1 species
GGAAUAUUGGGCAAUGGGUGAGAGCCUGACCCAGCCAUGCCGCGUGCAGGAAGACGGCCCUCAGGGUUGUAAACUGCUUUUCUACGGGAAGAAAGAGGUUGUGCGCAACCAGUUGACGGUACCGUAGGAAUAAGCACCGGCUAACUCCGUGCCAGCAGCCGCGGUAAUACGGAGGGUGCAAGCGUUGUCCGGAUUUAUUGGGUUUAAAGGGUACGUAGGCGGGCGUCUAAGUCAGUGGUGAAAACCUAUCGCUUAACGGUAGAAUUGCCAUUGAUACUGGAUGUCUUGAGUAUAGUAGAGGUGGGCGGAAUUCAUGGUGUAGCGGUGAAAUGCAUAGAUACCAUGAGGAACACCGAUAGGGAAGCCAGCUCACUGGACUAUUACUGACGCUAAGGUACGAAAGCGUGGGGAGCG